GGUGAGGUGGCAGAGCGGCCUAUUGCGCCGGUCUUGAAAACCGGUGGCGUCACGCCUCCUGGGUUCGAAUCCCAGCCUCACCG
rfam:Halobacterium sp. NRC-1, complete genome.